AAUAUUGGGACAUAAAAAAAAAGACAACUCUGUUCUGCAGAGUAGCUGUUGACAUUAUAGUUGCGCAGGCACUUUGUUGUCUCUAGAGAACCUCUGGCCAAUCGCACAUCCCCGUGAUGGCGACUUUGCAUUCAGAUGUCAUCCAUAUCAACUUUCGAUGCCAGUUUCUGUGCCUACCAUGGUGACCACAGGUAAUGGGGAAUCAUGGUUCCAUUCCAUACAGGGACCCUGAAAAACAGCUACCACAUGCAAGGAAGGCAGCAGGCACGCAAAUGACCCACUCCCGACGCUGGAAGUUAGUGA
rnacentral:rRNA from 1 species